GAGGGUGAGGAUUGGGACCGAAAGGUUGGCCAACAGGGAGGUCAAGGGGAAUAUUGACGGAGGUAGGGGAGGAGCCGACGACAAUGGCCGCCGGAGAGAAAGGGAGCAUGAGGAGGAAAUAUGGAGAAUGUGUAGAGUGUAUCUACAUGCAGGAAGUGUCCCCGUAUAAACAAGCCCUAUUUGCUCGUGUGGUUUUUAGAUCAUAUGCAACCAUAGCAUUUAUCCUUGAAGGUAUGGACGAUGAUGAAUGAGUGAAGUUAAAGAUAAAUGGCAAGCAUGCAUGGGCAAGGAAAUACGUCCCCAAGAGAGGGUAAAUUAGUGCCAUAUCAAUGCAUGAGAAGUGGCUUAGUAUCUUAGUUAUUACUUGAACAUUUUAAUGCAAUUCUUAGCCUCAAACAUAUGGGAAUAGUGUUCUGACA